AAGGCGCAAUGAAAGUGAAGGUCAGGCAUCGCACUGACUGAGGCAGGAUCCGUCCGGGUGAGCGAAGCUCUUCUUCCCUUCGCGGGUUCGUCCCGCGGGGGAGCUCGGCGGCGCACUGCCAGCCCAUCUCGGCCGCUUCCCGUCGGCGAGGUGGAGCCAGAGCGCACACGUUGGGACCCGAAAGAUGGUGAACUAUGCUCGGGCAGGACGAAGCCAGAGGAAACUCUGGUGGAGGUCCGUAGCGAUUCUGACGUGCAAAUCGAUCGUCGGACCCGAGUAUAGGGGCGAAAGACUAAUCGAACCGUCUAGUAGCUGGUUUCCUUCC
rnacentral:rRNA from 1 species